rnacentral:rRNA from 1 species
UACGUAGGGGGCAAGCGUUGUCCGGAUUUAUUGGGCGUAAAGAGCUCGUAGGCGGUUUGUCGCGUCUGCUGUGAAAACUCGGGGCUUAACCCCGGGCCUGCAGUGGGUACGGGCAGACUAGAGUGCGGUAGGGGAGACUGGAAUUCCUGGUGUAGCGGUGAAAUGCGCAGAUAUCAGGAGGAACACCGGUGGCGAAGGCGGAUCUCUGGGCCGUAACUGACGCUGAGGAGCGAAAGCAUGGGGAGCGAACAGG